AUGAAACAAGGCCUCCUCAGAUUAUCAGCCUUUGUGCUGUGGACUUCAGGUCUAAUCCAUGGAAGUGAUGUCACCCAGACUGACAUACUGUGGAAAGACAAGGAUGACGAUGCAACAAUGAACUGCAGCCACACAAAGGGUGUUGGCUACUACCAGAUGUACUGGUACAGACAGCUGCCAGGAGAAACUAUGAAACUAAUAGUGUUCACAACAACCAGUAACACUGAUUUUGGAGAUUUCAACAACGGGAAAUUCGCAGCCACCAAGCCUGACGCUGAGAGUGGGACAUUCACAGUGAAGAAUCUGGAGUCAGAAGAUAAAGGAUUGUAUUUCUGUGCUGUGAGUCAACACAGUGAUACAGACACAUUCAACAGCUGA